AGCAGCCGCGGUAAUUCCAGCUCCAAUAGCGUAUAUUAAAGUUGCUGCAGUUAAAAAGCUCGUAGUUGAAUUUCGGGAUCAAGGAAUCGGUCAUGCCUUGGUAUGUACUGGUUUUAUUGGUUCUCACCUUCUAAAGAACCAUAAUGUCAUUCAUUUGAUGUUAUGGGGAAUUAGGACUGUUACCUUGAAAAAAUUAGAGUGUUUAAAGCAGGCUUACGCUUGAAUACAUUAGCAUGGAAUAAUGAAAUAGGACGUUUGAUUCUAUUUUGUUGGUUUCUAGGAUCGACGUAAUGAUUAAUAGGGAUAGUUGGGGGCAUUAGUAUUCAAUUGUCAGAGGUGAAAUUCUUGGAUUUAUUGAAGACUAACUACUGCGAAAGCAUUUGCCAAGGAUGUUUUUCAUUAAUCAAGAACGAAAGUUAGGGGAUCGAAGACGAUCAGAUACCGUCGUAGUCUUAACCAUAAACUAUGCCGACUAGGGAUCGGAUGAUGUUAAUUUUUUAAUGUACUCUAUUCGGCGCCU
rnacentral:rRNA from 1 species